GUGGGGAAUAUUGGACAAUGGGCGAAAGCCUGAUCCAGCCAUGCCGCGUGUGUGAAGAAGGUCUUCGGAUUGUAAAGCACUUUAAGUUGGGAGGAAGGGCAGUAAGUUAAUACCUUGCUGUUUUGACGUUACUGACAGAAUAAGCACCGGCUAACUUCGUGCCAGCAGCCGCGGUAAUACGAAGGGUGCAAGCGUUAAUCGGAAUUACUGGGCGUAAAGCGCGCGUAGGUGGUUCAGCAAGUUGAAGGUGAAAUCCCCGGGCUCAACCUGGGAACUGCCUCCAAAACUACUGAGCUAGAGUACGGUAGAGGGUAGUGGAAUUUCCUGUGUAGCGGUGAAAUGCGGAGAUAUAGGAAGGAACACCAGUGGCGAAGGCGACUACCUGGACUGAUACUGACACUGAGGUGCGAAAGCGUGGGGAGCAAACAGGAUUAGAAACCCCAGUAGUCC
rnacentral:rRNA from 1 species